rnacentral:miRNA from 1 species
GGCUUGCUCUGCCCCGCAGCCCUGCUUGGGAGGCGAGGGUGAGGAUGCUGCUGUGUGGACAAUGGCCAAGCUCC